UACAGAGGGGGCAAGCGUUUGUUCGGAAUUACUGGGCGUAAAGGGCGCGUAGCGGCCGCCUAAGUCAGACGUGAAAUCCCUCGGCUCAACCGGGGAACUGCGUCUGAUACUGGGUGGCUUGAAUUCGGGAGAGGGAUGCGGAAUUCCAGGUGUAGCGGUGAAAUGCGUAGAUAAUCUGGAGGAACACCGGUGGCGAAGGCGGCAUCCU
rnacentral:rRNA from 1 species